GACAGAGGGUGCAAACGUUGUUCGGAAUUACUGGGCGUAAAGCGUGUGUAGGCGGUCUACUAAGUCGGGUGUGAAAGCCCUGGGCUCAACCCAGGAAGUGCACUCGAAACUGGCAGGCUAGAGUACUGGAGAGGUUGGUGGAAUUCUCGGUGUAGAGGUGAAAUUCGUAGAUAUCGAGAGGAACACCGGUGGCGAAGGCGGCAUCCUGGACCAACACUGACGCUGAGGAGCGAAAGCCAGGGGAGCAAACGGG
rnacentral:rRNA from 1 species